AUGCAUCUACUUACUACAUACCCACGGCUAAUCAUUCAAUUGGCCGCCACAACCAUGGAUUUCCUUAUGCUCCUGGCCGUUCUCUUAUGCCUCCUAGCCGGAAUGGCCUUUGGACGAGGGUACACUAGGCGAGCCCGUCCUCAGGCGACCACCCACCACGUCAGCGCCCCAGCUGUUGCUCACCGAGCGCUCAUCGAGAACGCCGAUCAAUUCUUUAACCGGCCAGGGACGAGCGUCCCCGGCUCCCUCGCCAUCUGGCGCAAUGGCGAACGGAACGACAACAUAGCCACGGUGAUGUACGGCCCGCAUUUGCGAGUGCUCCGGUGCAACCUCACCGCCGAGAUCCUCUCACGCCUUGGUUCCUUAGCCCCACUGCACGAGGAGGCAGCUCGGGCCCUCGUCGCGGACUUGUCCGCCCUAUGCCGCGGCGGCGGCGGCGGCGAGGUGGCCAUCCGUGAGCCACUCACCACGGCUGUGUUCGCGCUAGCCACACGCAUGUGCUUCGGCGACAUUGUCGACGCCGGCCACAGGAUCACCAUGGGGGAGGUGAUACGGCAGUCCAUUGUCCUCGCUGGAGAGCUCACAACUAGCCUCGGUGCCUCGAUGCUAUCCAAGCUCGCCAACUGGAGGCGGAUACGCCGGAUCUACACGUUGCUCGACCGGCAGGUCGAGCUGUACCUCCCUUUGAUCGCCGCACGGAGGCAGUCACAGUCUCAACUCUGCGGUAAUGGUGGCAUUGUCCGUCCAUACAUCGACACGCUCCUUGAUCUCCGUGUCCCUGACGACGGUGAUGCCCCCGCCGGGCGUCCUCUUCGACGCGGCGAGCUGGUGGCUCUUGUCUUCGAGUUCCUUGGCGCAGCCACAGGGUCAACCGCAACAUGUGUCGAGUGGACGCUCGCCCACCUCAUCGACCAGCCGGAGGUCCAGGACAAGCUGCGCUGCGAGAUUGAUGGUGAGGCCGACGCCGGCGGGAUACUCUCGAGCAAAAGCCUUCGCGGUGGUAUGCCGUAUCUGAACGCCGUUGUGCAAGAGAGCCUCCGCAUGCAUCCGCCAGUUCCGGUCAUCAUUCGGAGCGUCCACGGCGAGGGCGCAAAAGCAAUCGGCGGCAUGACCGCUGUGCCGGUGGACGGCGCGAUGGUGGUGUUCAACCUUGGUGACAUCGGAAGAGACGAGAAGACGUGGACCAAUCCCGACAAGUUCCAGCCGGAGCGGUUCCUGGACGGAGGCGAGGCUGAGGACAUCGGCCCGGCGCCAGGCCCCAAGGAGAUAAGGAUGAUGCCGUUCGGCGCGGGACAUAGGCGCUGCCCGGCUGUGAACAUGGGAAUGCUGCACAUCAAGUGCUUCUUGGCGGCGCUCGUGCACGAGUUCGACUGGACACCGUCGGCGGAAGACUGCAGCAAAGGUGUCGACAUGACUGAGCAGGCCGGCGGCUUUGUCAAACUAAUGAAGAAGCCACUCUGUGCGCGUGUUACACGACGCACAUAA
rnacentral:rRNA from 1 species